UGGGGAAUCUUGCGCAAUGGGCGAAAGCCUGACGCAGCGACGCCGCGUGAGGGAUGAAGGCCUUCGGGUUGUAAACCUCUUUCAGCGGGGACGAAGCGAAAGUGACGGUACCCGCAGAAGAAGCCCCGGCCAACUACGUGCCAGCAGCCGCGGUAAUACGUAGGGGGCGAGCGUUGUCCGGAUUUAUUGGGCGUAAAGAGCUCGUAGGCGGCUCUGUAAGUCGGACGUGAAAUUCCAGGGCUCAACCCUGGGACGCCGUUCGAUACUGCAGGGCUGGAGGCCGGUAGGGGGAUCUGGAAUUCCUGGUGUAGCGGUGAAAUGCGCAGAUAUCAGGAGGAACACCGGUGGCGAAGGCGGGAUCCUGGGCCGGACCUGACGCUGAGGAGCGAAAGCUGGGGGAGCGAACAGG
rnacentral:rRNA from 1 species